UACGUAGGGGGCAAGCGUUGUCCGGAAUCAUUGGGCGUAAAGAGCGUGUAGGCGGCCCGAUAAGUCCGCUGUGAAAGUCCAGGGCUCAACCCUGGAAUGCCGGUGGAUACUGUCGGGCUCGAAUCCGGAAGAGGUGAGUGGAAUUCCUGGUGUAGUGGUGAAAUACGUAGAUAUCUGGAGGAACACCGGUGGCGAAGGCGGCGAUCUGGCCCAACAUUGACACUGAGACUCGAAAGUGCGGGGAUCAAACAGG
rnacentral:rRNA from 1 species